CAGUAGCCGCGGUAAUACGAAGGGUGCAAGCGUUAAUCGGAAUUACUGGGCGUAAAGCGCGCGUAGGUGGUUCAUUAAGUUGGAUGUGAAAGCCCUGGGCUCAACCUGGGAACCGCAUCCAAAACUGGUGAGCUAGAGUACGGUAGAGGGUAGUGGAAUUUCCUGUGUAGCGGUGAAAUGCGUAGAUAUAGGAAGGAACACCAGUGGCGAAGGCGACUACCUGGACUGAUACUGACACUGAGGUGCGAAAGCGUGGGGAGCAAACAGGAUUAGAUACCCCCGUAGUCCCUGUCUCUUAUAC
rnacentral:rRNA from 1 species